UGGGUGAUCUGCCCUGCACUUUGGGAUAAGCCUGGGAAACUGGGUCUAAUACCGGAUAGGACUACGAAUCGCAUGGUUUGUGGUGGAAAGCUUUGGCGGCGUGGGAUGGGCCCGCGGCCUAUCAGCUUGUUGGUGGGGUGAUGGCCUACCAAGGCGACGACGGGUAGCCGGCCUGAGAGGGUGUCCGGCCACACUGGGACUGAGAUACGGCCCAGACCUCCGUACGGGAGGCA
rnacentral:rRNA from 1 species